rnacentral:rRNA from 1 species
GACGGAGGAUGCAAGCGUUAUCCGGAAUGAUUGGGCGUAAAGCGUCUGCAGGUGGCAGUUCAAGUCUGCUGUCAAAGACCGGGGCUUAACCCUGGAAAGGCGGUGGAAACUGAAGCGCUAGAGUGCGGUAGGGGUAGAGGGAAUUCCCGGUGUAGCGGUGAAAUGCGUAGAGAUCGGGAAGAACAUCGGUGGCGAAGGCGGCCAUCUGGACCAGCACUGACACUGAGGCACGAAAGCGUGGGGAGCAAACAGG